GGUUGAGUGCCCUGAGUUCAUUCCCUGGUAUCAAAAAAAAAAAAAAAAAAAAAAGAAAGAAGAAAAGAAAGAAAGUCUUCUGCUCUCAUUAUUUAUUAUUUUUUUUAAUAUUUAUUUUUUAGUUGUAGUUGGACACAAUACAUUUAUUUUAUUUACUUAUUUUCAUGUGUGGAUUGAACCCAGGGCCUUGCAAGUGCUAAGCGAGUGCUCUACUGUUGAGCCCCAACCCCAGCCCUGUUUAUUAUUUUUACUGCUACUUAUUUUUUUGGCUUAUGGAGCAAAGAUUUAUUGAAUGUGCAGACAGGUGCUGGGGAUACAACGAGAACAAAACUGGCCUGACCCCUGUUCUCAUAAAGCUUUAAAGAAUGAAGAAAGCCAGUCAAUCAGCAAGUGAUUACAACAGGGAGAGAUGCUUGAAGAAAUGGUUUUAAAAAUGGAAAAAGCAUGAAGCUCAAAGACAAUCAUUACAGCAUUAUGUAUACCAGCAAAAAAUUGGUCACAAUCUAUGUCUAACAGUAAAGAGAGAUACAUAUUCCAUGGGCUAUCAUGCUGCCAUUAAAAUGAUCUCAGAGAGCAUCCAUGAUAAUGAUAUGAGACUUAUUUUUUUUUUAUUUUUUAGUUGUAGUUGGACACAACGCCUUUACUUUAUUUAUCUUUAUGUGGUGCUGAGGAUCAAACUCAGGCCUCACACAUGUGAGACAAGCGCUAUACCGCUGAGCCCUAGCCCCAGCCCCUGAUAUAACACUUAUUAUGUAAAAAAGUAAAAAACUAGCAGUGGUGGCACAUGCCUGUAAUCCCAGCAAUUCAGGAGAAGCAAGGAGGAAGGAGGAUUUCAAGUUCAAGGCUAGCCGUGGCCACUUAGCAAGACCCUAUCUCAAAAAAAUUAAAAAGGGCUGGGGAUGUCUCUCAGUGGUAGAGUGCCUCCCCCACCCCAAAAAGUAGACAAAGGAUAUAAAAGAAUAUAAAGUUGUAUGAAAACAUAUUCAAUCAUAUUAAAAUAUACAUAAAGCCCAGAAAGAAACUCACAAAAAAAUGCUAAUGAUGGUUGAGAGCAGGACUAUUCAAGGCACAGAAUCAGGCUGAACUGCCGCUUUUGUAAGUCAUGUUCUUCUGGCUCAACCUGAGUUGCUGGAGAAAAGGGCCCAAGGCACACUUGGAUUCAAAUCUUGCUCCAGUACCUUGCAUCAUCCAGUGUGUGCAGCACCUCACUUGUGUAACCUUAGACAAUUUUUUUUUUUUUGGUUCCAUGGAUUGAACCCAGAAGCGCUUAACCACUGAACCACAUUCCAAGCCACCCCCACCCCUUUUUUUGUUUGUUUGUUUUAAGAUAGGGUGAGAUAGGGUCUCACUCAGUUGCUUAGGGCCUCACUAAAUUGCUGAGGCUGACUUUGAACUUGUGACCCUCCUGCCUCAGCCUCCUGAGCUGCCAAGAUUCCAGGAGUGCGCCACCACGCCCAGCUUGGACAAAUUUACUUAACCUUUCUAGGCCACCUAGUGUACCUCUCGGGAUGGUGGCCAAGAUGAAAUGGAACAAGGAACGUAAGCAUCCUGGAACACUCUAGUCCCCAGGCAAACAGUGGCCAUGAUAGUCAUGCUCUGUUCCCUGGGGAUCUGGAGCCUGUUCCUGGGAAUGCGGUUGAAGGCUUUCUUCCAGCCCUGUUGUGACCCACUCAGCCAGAGAAAGACAGUGAUCUGAGAACAGGGCUGCAUAUUUGUGCUCUGAAGGACCCUGGGAGCAUUAUUUAGAGAGGACAUUCUCUCCCAGGCCUAAGCUGCUCUUUCACCCAGCAGCUGCAGACUGGACUAAGCACCCAGAGAGACCCACCCUGGCCCUGAAACCUUGCCUGAGUCCUGACAGCCUGUGGCACAAUCCUCUUUCCUCAGGAGCAGCUUUUGGUUUCUGAACACAGAAGCUGAGCUCAACUUUAUCAUGUCCAGUACCCAGAAAUGGGCUAUAGCAUUUCUGUGUGGGGUGAAGAAAUUUCCAAAGAAAUAAAUGAUAGUAAAAUGUAUACAGAGGCUGGAGUUGUAGUUCAGCGGUAGAUCGCUUGCCUAGCAUGUGUGAAGCACUGAGUUUGAUCCUCAGCACCUCUGGACUUAUUUUUAUAAAAAAUAAAUAAAUAAAAUAAAGAUACUGAGUCUUUCUACAACAACAACAAAAAAUAUAUAUAUAUAUUUUUAAAAAGGGUACACAUAGUGGGGUAGGGAGUGGGAGCAUGGGAGGAAUAGACGAACUCCAGAUAGGGCAAAGGGGUGGAAGGGGAAGGGAGGGGGCAGGGGGUUAGAAAUGAUGGUGGAAUGUGAUGAACAUUAUUAUCCAAAAUACAUGUAUGAAGACACAAAUUGGUGUGAAUGUACUUUAUAUACAACCAGAGAUAUGAAAAAAUGUGCUCUAUAUGUGUAAUAUGAAUUGUAAUGCAUUCUGCUGUCAUAUAUUAAAAAAUCAAUAAAAAAUGGGGUACAAACUUUCA